GAUGAACGCUGGCGGCGUGCCUAAUACAUGCAAGUCGAGCGAACAGACGAGGAGCUUGCUCCUCUGACGUUAGCGGCGGACGGGUGAGUAACACGUGGAUAACCUACCUAUAAGACUGGGAUAACUUCGGGAAACCGGAGCUAAUACCGGAUAAUAUAUUGAACCGCAUGGUUCAAUAGUGAAAGACGGUUUUGCUGUCACUUAUAGAUGGAUCCGCGCCGCAUUAGCUAGUUGGUAAGGUAACGGCUUACCAAGGCAACGAUGCGUAGCCGACCUGAGAGGGGGAACCGGCAAAACUGAACCUGGAAACGGGUCCGACUCCCACGGGAGGCAGCAGUAGGGGAUUUUUCGGAAAGGGGGGAAGGCCGAAGGGGGAAACGCGCGGGGGGGAAGGAAGUGUUUGGGACGGUAAAACUUUUUAUUAGGGAAAAAAAAAAUGGGAAGGAAACUUGGACGUUUUGAAGGGAACCAAAUAGAAAGGCAACGGCAACCACCGG
rnacentral:rRNA from 1 species